UAACGAAUAUUCCGCAAUGGACGAAAGUCUGACGGAGCAAUGCCGCGUGCAGGAUGAAGCGGUUUCGCCGUGUAAACUGCUGUCAGGGGCAGGAAAAACUGAUCCGCCCCAAAGGAAGAGACGGCUAACCCUGUGCCAGCAGCCGCGGUAAUACAGGGGUCUCGAGCGUUAAUCGGAAUCACUGGGCUUAAAGGGUGCGUAGGCGGAUCCGUAAGCGCUUUGUGAAAUCCCCCGGCUCAACCGGGGAACUGCAGGGCGAACUGCGGAUCUUGAGGAAACUAGAGGCCGGUAGAACGAUUGGUGGAGCGGUGGAAUGCGUAGAUAUCAAUCGGAAUGCCAAAAGUGAAGACAGCCGGCUGGGGUUUUCCUGACGCUGAGGCACGAAAGCGUGGGGAGCAAACCGGAUUAGAUACCCAGGUAGUCCCUGAGCGGGCUGGCAAGGCGCAU
rnacentral:rRNA from 1 species